rnacentral:lncRNA from 1 species
CCAGGCUCCCGAUUUGCCCGGGAUGCGGCUAGGAGGCCCGCCCACUUCCCAUCACUUAGGGCCUCGCGAGCGCCCGCCCUCGGUUUUGAUUGGUGGGGCAGCGCGCAUUAUCCAGCCCCUUUCCGGGGCGGGGGCGGGGCCGCCUCCCUGUCCCCGCCCUGCGGCUUUCAGGACCGCGAGGCCGCGGCGGUGCUCCCGGGCCAGAUUCCCAUCAGGGAACCCUGGAGCUGGGCGGUUUGGCCACUGCCCCAGGACAUCACCGCAGUACUUGGCAAGAGGUCAUUGAAGGGAAGUUCAGGAAGCUCCUUUUCUGUGCCUGCCAAGUGGUAACCAACCCCCAAGAAGGCUUUCUUUGAACCAGUUAGGGCACUGAGCUCUGGGAAAGGAAGAGGUCAGGAAGGGUCACAGACUAGUCUCAGAAGUGAGUUCCUGUUCUUCUCUGCUUACUAGCUGCUUUAUUUAUAGCCCUUUGCCAGUUUGUUCUUUAUUCCAUUUUAAAGCAUUUCCACUUCCACCCUUCAUUUGCUCUUCCCACCAGCCCAGGGAGUCCCUCUCUUCAGCUUAGACUAGUGAGUGCAACAGCACCCCAGAGACAAGUGGUCUCAAACCCUUGCAAGUCCCAACCCUGACAACUUUCCUUCUAGUCACAAAUCUAGUCCAUUUUGUCUUCAGUUAUUCAAACUCUUUCUGAACAUCUGAUUCAGGUUCCUCUUCUGUAAAAAUAAGUGGGGUUAGUUUAGUUUAGGUUAAGAUUUAGCAAACUUUUCCUGUAAAGAACCGGAUGGGGGAAGCGGACAUGGCUCAACUGACAGAGUGCCCGUCUACCAUAUGGAGGGUCCAGGGCUCAAUACCCCGGGCCUCCUGACCUGUGGGGUGAACUGGCCCUCGCGCAGUGCUGCCGUGCACAAGGAGUGCCGUGCCACACAGGGGUGUCCCCUGCAUAGGGGAGCCCCACGUGCAAGGAGUGCACCCUGUAAGGAGAGCCGCCCUAUGUGAUAAAAGUGCAGCCCACCCAGGAGCGCCACUGUGCACAUGGAGAGCUGACGCAGCAAGAUGAUGCAACAAAGAGACACAGA